CGAAUGCUGACAUAAGUAACGAUAAAGCGGGUGAAAAGCCCGCUCGCCGGAAGACCAAGGGUUCCUGUCCAACGUUAAUCGGGGCAGGGUGAGUCGACCCCUAAGGCGAGGCCGAAAGGCGUAGUCGAUGGGAAACAGGUUAAUAUUCCUGUACUUGGUGUUACUGCGAAGGGGGGACGGAGAAGGCUAUGUUGGCCGGGCGACGGUUGUCCCGGUUUAAGCGUGUAGGCUGGUUUUCCAGGCAAAUCCGGAAAAUCAAGGCUGAGGCGUGAUGACGAGGCACUACGGUGCUGAAGCAACAAAUGCCCUGCUUCCAGGAAAAGCCUCUAAGCAUCAGGUAACAUCAAAUCGUACCCCAAACCGACAC
rnacentral:rRNA from 1 species